rnacentral:rRNA from 1 species
AUUGAACGCUGGCGGCAUGCCUAACACAUGCAAGUCGAACGGUAACGAUGGGAGCUUGCUCCCAGGCGACGAGUGGCGGACGGGUGAGUAAUACUUAGGAAUCUGCCCAGUAGUGGGGGACAACUCGAGGAAACUCGAGCUAAUACCGCAUACGCCCUACGGGGGAAAGCGGGGGAUCUUCGGACCUCGCGCUAUUGGAUGAGCCUAAGUCGGAUUAGUUUGUUGGUGAGGUAAAGGCUCACCAAGGCGACGAUCCGUAGCUGGUCUGAGAGGACGAUCAGCCACACUGGGACUGAGACACGGCCCAGACUCCUACGGGAGGCAGCAGUGGGGAAUAUUGCACAAUGGGCGCAAGCCUGAUGCAGCAAUGCCGCGUGUGUGAAGAAGGCCUGCGGGUUGUAAAGCACUUUCAGUAGAGAAGAAAAGCCUAGGGUUAAUACCCCUGAGUCUUGACGUAACCUACAGAAGAAGCACCGGCUAACUCCGUG